rnacentral:antisense_RNA from 1 species
AUUAACAUCUUGUCCGCAUCCCACAACAGGCAGAUGGCCCUGUGCAGGGCUGAGCUGGAAGAGGUAACCAGGGCCUCCUCGCACCUUGCCCACCAGAGUGAGCCUGGCCUGCAGCUCCCUGCACUCCCGCUGCAAGGCAGCAAUCUGCUUGUCCUUGGCCAGCAGUGCACUGGCUGUCUCACUGAGGUCCCGGGCUCGCUGGCGGGCUAGGGCCUUCCGACACAACUCCAAGCUGGCCCCCGGCCGGGGCAAAGGGGCACUCACCUAGCCAGAGGAGGGGUUGGCUGAGCUCCUCCCCACCCACAAAGGAGGCUGCGGAAGGCGCCAGGGCUGCUGGAGCUGGAGCCAGGGGCUCCUGCCCCCAACAGGAUUCCUCACAUCCCAGGACCAGCUGGAAAACGCGGUGAGAGUUGGAAAGAGACUGCUCAGUGAGGACUGCCCUGUGAACCAGCUUGGAUUCAUGGCAUUCACCUCCACGUUCUGCACGCAGGGCCAAGGGAAGGGAGGCAGCCCAGGCAGCUACAGAACUUGAUGAAACACACUCAAUCUGAAUCUCGCUUGAUCGUCAUGCUGACCCAGUGAGGGUCAGGCACCCUUCCCGACUACUCACUCAGCAGCGGAUCUCCACCCGCCUCUGACUCCCAGUGUCUUUCGGCUCCAACGUAAGUUCACCGAACGUCUAAGAGCUGAGGAUUCAAAGGCAUGUACGACCGCCCGUGCCCUCAGCUGCAAGACCUGUCCGCGAUCCUAUGAGCCCCAUUCCGCCCUCUUUCCCCGACCUUGGUCCCCCAUGGGCCCUACAACCAGGUCCCCGACUGACACCUUGACCAGCGAACACAGCAAACAGGCCCUUAGAUGCCGCAGGUCCUUCGGCACCGUCUCCAGGGCCAUCUUCGCCGAUAGGAAGAGCAACAGGGAGAUAGACGACAACAGCCUGUGCACCCGCAGGAAGUAAAUAGCUCGUUACCCAGAAUCCCCGCCACUUCUGGCGCUUAGACUUCCUCUUCCGGUGUGGGCGGGCGCCGGCUCCGCCCCUACCCCCGCCAGAGGAGAUGGUUUCUCCCACCGGCAGGCGGGGAGGCGGGGCGGCCGGCCGCCACCUGGGCCGGGGCGCGUCCCAGCCACCUGAGCCCGCCGAGGGCGCGGCGGAGGCUGUGUAGGGUAGUCAGCGGGCCCCCGGCGGGGGGGACGGAGGGGGCGGCUGCGCUUGCGCGGGAGUGUGUCGGGCUGAGCCGCAGCGCCGAGACGCGGGCCGUUUGAUCUGGGCUGCUGGCCCUGGGCGCCGGUCCUGUUCCCCGAUGGUAACCCGAAGUUUUUUUGUUUUGUUUUGUCUUCCCGUUGUAGAAGCACUGGGGGCAGUGAAUCCACUGUCUCCCUCUGGAUUAUGUCUGGAGAGACCCAGAACGAAUCCAGGGACAGCCCCACCCCUCCUUCCUAACUGCGAGAGCGCUAUAGGGUUUCCACUUGCUUCCCACAGGAAUGCUGGCCUGGGAGCUACGGCGGAAAAAAUGCGUAUUUAUCUUUUAAAACUCCGUCUGUUUGCUCGUUCCGGCUCAUAAUUUAUACUUUGGGCAGUUCUUAGCACUUAGACACGGUUCCUUUACUAAAGAACAUUUGUAGAAGAUUAGGUGUCCUUUUUUCCGCUUUCAUUUCGCCGUCUAGGAAGCGAAAUGCCUUGUUCUAUAGGCACCAAACCACCACCCCUACCAAACCUUUCUCGGGGAAGCAGAAGGGGAACUUGUGCCUUGUGAGGAAGCGACAAAGGCCCUUUCUGGCCCUGGAGACUUCAUGCCAAUGGAGCACCAGCUGUCUGUCCUCGCAAUAGCCCGAGUGCAGGCAGAACGCGGUCAUUUGUGUUUAUCUGAGAGGAGCUUUGGGAUAUAAAUAGUUUCAGGCCCCGCUGCUCUAUCAUUCCAGCCCAGCCUCCUGAUUGAGCUGCUUCUGGGCGGGCUUGCUUCUUGUUGACGGUCCCAUGCUGUGUUCAGAUGGGCUCUGUGACAGGUUUGGAUGUUUUCUAUCACUGAAUAAAACUUUCCACUUUGGAACAU